CAGGGCUCAACUACUAGCUGCAAGCCGGCGGAAACGCUGGCCGCUUUCGAAGGUGCUAGAUAGGUGCUGCAUGGUUGCCGUCAGCUCGUGCCGUGAGGUGUACCGUUAAGUCGGGUAACGAGCGCAACCCCUAUUGUGUGUUAAAUUUACACACGAGACUGCCCGCGCAAGCGGGAGGAAGGCGGGGACGACGUCAAAUCAGCAUGGCUCUUACGUCCUGGGCUACACGCAUGAUACAAUGGCUGGUACAAAGGGUUGCUAACCCGCGAGGGGGAGCUAAUCCCAAAAAACCUGCCCCAGUUCAGAUUGAUGGCUGCAACUCGCCAUCAUGAAGUUGGAUUCGCUAGUAAACGCGCAUCAGCCACGGCGCGUUGAAUACGUUCU
rnacentral:rRNA from 1 species